AUCUGACUUUUUGGCAAAAGGAGGGGAGACUUGGUUCGGGGAAUUUCUGAACCACACCACUAGCCAAAUUCUCAAUUUUCCAUCUCUCUCUCUCUCUCUCUCGCUCCCUCUGGUACGUCCAUUUGUUUAGGGUUUCCGCCAUUUAUAAACAGCCUCUGUGCUCUACUAGGGUUUUUACACUAGUAUCAAAAGUUGAUGAUGUGCCGCGCAGCUUUAAUCGCCUUUUGAAUCCUCCAUACGCAGUUGUGAUUUCUGCUCAAAGUUUUGAUUUUGGGGAUUUUAGGGGCUUUGCACGGCUGAAAUCUCAUCUGGGUGGUGAUUCAAUUGGGGCUAAUUUCACUGUGUUCGUUCAGCGCAUUAGAAUUUCCGAUCUGGGUUUAGCUGGGUUCGGUCAAUUUAAGGUUCGGGGAUUGAGAUUUCAUCUGGGUUGGGGCCAAAAUUUGAAAUUUUGGUACUUUUUUAUAUUUCGACUCAGUUUGAGAAUUAGGGUUCUUUCUCUCUGUGGCGAUGGACGACGGAGAGCUUGAAUUUUCGAACCAGGAGCUUGAUUUUUCGAUUCCAAACAUGACCGGUGAGCUUCCGAGUAGUUGCUCCAUGGAGAAUAUUUUCGGUGACUUCUUCAAGGAUACUGAUACCGCUUGCACUCACAACCACAUUUGCAACCCUCCCUCGGGCCCUGACUCGUCUCAUAGGCACACUUGCAUUCAUGUCCACACUAAGAUUUUGUCCUCUGGGCAAAGUGAGGACAAGGCUGGAACUGAUGAUACUGCCGAGUCUGGGGAGAAGAACUCCAAGAAAAGGCCUUUGGGUAAUCGGGAAGCUGUUCGCAAGUACCGGGAGAAGAAGAAGGCUCGAGCUGCUUCGUUGGAGGAUGAGGUUACCAGGUUGAGAGCUUUGAAUCAGCAGCUGAUGAAGAGGUUGCAGGGUCAGACUGCAUUGGAGGCCGAGAUUGCGAGGCUCAAGUGUUUGCUUGUGGACAUUAGGGGAAGGAUUGAAGGAGAAAUUGGAUCUUUUCCGUAUCAGAAGCCGGUGAAUCCGGGUCUGCAGAGUCACAACAUGACCGGUACUUAUGUGAUGAAUCCAUGUAACAUGCAGUGCAAUGAUCAGCUUUAUUGCCUUCAACGAGGGGAUGAUGGAAAACGUGGAGAUGGGACAGGAAUGAAUGGCCAAGGGUUUAGUGGUUGUGAAUUUGAGAAUCUUCAGUGUUUCACAAAUCAGGAUGGAGGAUCAAUGGGUCUUUCUGGAUGUGAUCUUGGAAAUGUGAUGUUAGAAUCCAAUGUCAAUCUUUCUGGCACAAAGAAGAGGAAAGGAGGGGCUCGAGCUGCAGCAGCGAAUUGAAGGAAUGGGAAAGUAGUGUCAUCAAGAGUACAUAUGGUCUUGCAAUAAGCAGUUUGUCAACUGCAACAUCAGCUUUCCCCUCAGGUCUCCUUUUCUUUUUUGGUGACUCCUUCAGCUUUUCCUUCUCUUUCUGAGCUACAUGAAUCCUUGAUCUCUUAAUUACAGAACAUAGAGAAGCUGGCAUGUGAUUUCAAUCAUGUUUCAGUGCUAGAGCUGUGAACAGUAUAGUUACCCCUUACUGAUGCAUCUGGCCAUCGCAAAUGUCAAUGGGAGCCUCUUUCCAACGUUGGGGUGAAAAAUGACUAUGCCAGGAAGAAGGAUCUCCUUAGGUUCAUUGCUUUUAGAUGGUCAGCCAGUUCAUUAGAAGAAUGUGUAUAGAAAAAUAGUUGGGUGAUUUUCAUAAAUGAGAGGUGCCUUUGGUCAUGAAGUGGGGAAGGAAGUACACCAAAAGUUGAUUUAUGAAAAAGCUUCCAUAAAACUCAUUUUAAAGCGAGAAUAGAAUAUCAGUAUAUCUUUUGUCUCCUGCCACUAAUAUUUCAGAAACUAGUUAAGCUUUCUUAGUUUCUCGUUUAUUCUA